ACGUGCCCUGGGAGACUUGUGGUGCCCCUGUGAACUUGUAAAGCAGUGUACUUGCGGAGGAUUUGUCAAUAAACUUAGGAAAUAGUGCCCGUGUUUUUCCCUUGUGGCCUGGCCUCGUGUGUGUGUGUGUGUGUGUGUGUGUGCACGCGCGCCUUGUCCCGGCGUUCAGAGUGUGACUCCGCUGCUCUACCUAUACCCGUGUGGAUAACACGCCCGCCCGGAGUGAGGGAUGGGCGCAACAAUAACAUCUUUGUUGGCCCUGUCGAAGGCACCCUUAAGAUCAACGAAAGCUCUGCAGGACGGUUAUAUGAACUGGCAGCCAUUGUUGAUGUUUGCAUUGCUUGCUGGGGCCGGGAGAAUUCCACGAUUACAGCUCAAAUAGAAGGAGUGAGUGAGGCAGGAUGAGUCUGAUGGGUGCUUAGGCUGAGAGUCACGCCGCAGGGUCAGUGAGGGGUACGGCCGGCAGUAUGGUGACUCCUACGGCGGCGGUCAUCACAGGAGUACUCAUGUGACAGGAGCAGCAGUUGGGGGGCGGUCACAGGGGAGGGGGCUGAUGGCGAA